rnacentral:misc_RNA from 1 species
AACUUUUAGCAAUGGAUCCCUUGGUUCCGGCAUCGAUGAAGAACGCAGCGAAAUGCGAUAAGUAAUGCGAAUUGCAGAAUUCCGUGAGUCAUCGAAUCUUCGAACGCACAUUGCGCCCCCCGGCUUCCCGGGGGGCAUGCCUGUCCGAGCGUCAUUGCCAUCCCCUCAAGCUCUGCUUGGCUUGUUGGGCCAGCGUCCGCCUGCGGCUCCUGUCGCGGGGGGACGGGCCCGAAAGGCAGUGGCGGCCCCUGGAGACUUGGUCCUUUGGGCGGUGAUGCAUGGGUCUCUUCAUCCACCGUCCCGUUGGCCACGCCCCGGGAGUCUGUCGAACGAUUGGUCUUCCCCCUUUAGGUUGACCUCGGAUCAGGUAGGGAUACCCGCUGAACUUAAGCAUAUCAAUAAGCGGAGGCU